rnacentral:rRNA from 1 species
UAACAAAAACAUGUCUUUUUGAUAAUAAUUUAAAGUCUAAUCUGCCCACUGAGUAAUUAAAUGGCCGCGGUAUUCUGACCGUGCAAAGGUAGCAUAAUAAUUAGUUUUUUAAUUGAAAGCUGGAAUGAAUGAUUGAAUGAGAAAAUAGCUGUCUCAAUUUAAUUUAUUUAGAAUUUUAUAUUUAAGUAAAAAAGCUUAAAUUUUUUUAGAAGACGAGAAGACCCUAUAGAGUUUUAUAUUUUAAUUUUAUUAAAUUAUUAGUUUUAAGAGUUUAAUUGGAUUUAAAUUAUUUUGUUGGGGUGAUAUAAAAAUUUAAUUAACUUUUUAUUAAUUUUUACAUUAAUAAAUGAAUUUUUGAUCCAAAAAUUUUGAUUAAAAGAAUAAAUUACCUUAGGGAUAACAGCGUAAUUUUUUUUAAGAGUUCUUAUCGAAAGAAAAGAUUGCGACCUCGAUGUUGGAUUAAAGUUAAAUUUUGGUGUAGAAGCUGAAAAUUUAGGUCUGUUCGACCUUUAAAACUUUACAUGAUCUGAGUUCAGA